GGAGCAGAUCACACCCAGAAGACCUCAAAUGGAAACACUGUUGACUAUCAUGUUCAAAAGUGCUUCUCUUUGGGGUUGUCUUGAAUGU
rnacentral:pre_miRNA from 13 species